rnacentral:rRNA from 1 species
GCCUCGUGAACUCAUCUCCGGGGGUAGAGCACUGUUUCGGCUAGGGGGCCAUCCCGGCUUACCAACCCGAUGCAAACUGCGAAUACCGGAGAAUGUUAUCACGGGAGACACACGGCGGGUGCUAACGUCC